UACGUAGGUGGCUAGCGUUGUCCGGAUUUACUGGGCGUAAAGAGCGCGCAGGCGGUCGUUCAAGUCGAGUGUGAAAGCCCCCGGCUCAACUGGGGAGGGUCACUCGAUACUGAUCGACUCGAAGGCAGGAGAGGGAAGCGGAAUUCCCGGUGUAGUGGUGAAAUGCGUAGAUAUCGGGAGGAACACCAGUGGCGAAGGCGCUUUCUGGCCUGCUCUUGACGCUGAGGCGCGAAAGCGUGGGGAGCAACAGGAUUAAGAAACCCCGGUGAGUCCCAGAACCG
rnacentral:rRNA from 1 species